rnacentral:rRNA from 1 species
AUUGAACGCUGGCGGCAGGCCUAACACAUGCAAGUCGAGCGGUAGAGAGAAGCUUGCUUCUCUUGAGAGCGGCGGACGGGUGAGUAAUGCCUAGGAAUCUGCCUAGUGGUGGGGGAUAACGUUCGGAAACGGACGCUAAUACCGCAUACGUCCUACGGGAGAAAGCGGGGGAUCUUCGGACCUCGCGCCAUUAGAUGAGCCUAGGUCGGAUUAGCUAGUUGGUGAGGUAAUGGCUCACCAAGGCGACGAUCCGUAACUGGUCUGAGAGGAUGAUCAGUCACACUGGAACUGAGACACGGUCCAGACUCCUACGGGAGGCAGCAGUGGGGAAUGUUGGACAAUGGGCGAAAGCCUGAUCCAGCCAUGCCGCGUGUGUGAAGAAGGUCUUCGGAUUGUAAAGCACUUUAAGUUGGGAGGAAGGGCAGUAACCUAAUACGUUAUUGUUUUGACGUCACCGACAGAAUAAGCACCGGCUAACUUCGUGCCAGCCGCCGCCGUAAUAC